rnacentral:lncRNA from 1 species
UUUUAUUCAUCAUCGUACGAUUACAAAUACAUGAAUGUUACAUGCUCCCAUUGGAGUUUGCCUAUUUUGCCUUCUGCGACUAUGCUUAAGGAGUAUCUGACUUGGAAGAUUGCGUGUAGUCCGCUGAUUCCCGGUGCUUUUGCAAAGCGUCCGGUUAAUUACAUCUGCAGGUCAAGCCUAUAGAAAACCUCCGAUUAAGCUGGGCGCGGUCGUCGUCGUGAAAUUUGCUCAUCCAUAAUGCAUGUGGGAUGUUUGGAGAAAAGAUGUAGAUGGUGGUGAUACGUAGGUGCGGGUGGCUUUGUUUUGCCUGAACCCAGUCACGAUACGCCAUCGCCAUGUCGGUAUUUAGAACGGAAUUUGUUGAUGAAGAUGGUGACCUUUGCCUUGUCGGUGCCCAGUCAUGUAUCCAAGAAUUCAUCGAACAUGGACAUGUGUAUGUUGCUUUCGCCUCAUCGGUGCCCAGCAACGAAGUGUCCGAUCCCGUUUGGGAUUGUGACAUGUUAAUGGAAUAUAGUGAGCUGGCCGUGUUGGCACUUGGACAUGAUUUCGUCUAGCCUUGUCGGCACUAGACAUGAGAUGGGUAUGAUGGAUUUGACCAUAACCACAUGGAGAUUAGGCCAUAGAUUUGAGAUAGACCAUUGAUAGAGCAUGUCUUUUCUCCUUUAUUUUAAGAAUCAGGGGUUGCACACCGCCGACAUAGAUGAAGCAAUCGAUGAUGUAUUUUUUGUGAGGAUUUUCAUCUACUCCGCAUGGGCGACGUUGAUGAAGCGAUCGUGCCAUGGUCGUAGGUUUCCGCAUGGGCGACGUUGGUGAGGCGGUCGUGCCAUGGUUGUAUAUUUUUACAUGGGCGACUUUGAUGAGGCGGUCGUGCCAUGGAUGUAAAUCUCCGCAUGGGCGACGUUGAUGAGGCGGUCGUGCCAUGAUUGUAUANNNNNNNNNNNNNNNNNNNNNNNNNNNNNNNNNNNNNNNNNNNNNNNNNNNNNNNNNNNNNNNNNNNNNNNNNNNNNNNNNNNNNNNNNNNNNNNNNNNNNNNNNNNNNNNNNNNNNNNNNNNNNNNNNNNNNNNNNNNNNNNNNNNNNNNNNNNNNNNNNNNNNNNNNNNNNNNNNNNNNNNNNNNNNNNNNNNNNNNNNNNNNNNNNNNNNNNNNNNNNNNNNNNNNNNNNNNNNNNNNNNNNNNNNNNNNNNNNNNNNNNNNNNNNNNNNNNNNNNNNNNNNNNNNNNNNNNNNNNNNNNNNNNNNNNNNNNNNNNNNNNNNNNNNNNNNNNNNNNNNNNNNNNNNNNNNNNNNNUGGUUGUAUAUUUUUACAUGGCCGACUUUGAUGAGGCGGUCGUACCAUGGAUGUAAAUUUUACAUGGUCGACUUUGAUGAGGCGGUCAUGCCAUGAUAAAGAUUUAUGGAAUAGCCAAGUAGACAUCAUUCUUCUUCCAUCACACAAAGCUCAUUGAUGCGGUCAGAUCUUACAACUUACCAUCAAGGCCAAUGGUUUUGGCAAAGAUCAGCAUGUUGAUGAAGCUUCGGCGGCGUCGUCCGCGGUCGACGAAACUGUUACGGUGAAGAUUGAGAAGGGGAUUUUGGCAAAGAUCAGCAUGUUGAUGAAGCUUCGGCGGCGUCGUCCGCGGUCGACGAAACUGUUACGGUGAAGAUUGAGAAGGGGAAGCGUGGAGUUGGCGGCGUGCUUGAGGGCGAGAGCUUUGGCUGGUGUGCGUGGAGCCUGUCGGCGUGGAUGCGUUUUGUACGUGCCUCCUGGCGUGCCUCCUCUUGAACGAGGGCUGGCGAUGCUUUAUAUAGGGGCCGGCCGUGGCUUCGAUCACGUCGGUUCGUUGAAGCCGUGUGAGUUUAAACUGGCCAGGAUUCUAUCUCCAGCAGACUUGGCGUCUACGUAUAUGAUUUUCUCAUGCAAAAUCGUAUCUAAACGGAUUACUGCUGCUCCCAACUAAAUCACCGGCAACGUCGCAAUAUGGGUCUUGUCUGUCACGUGUUUAGGCAACCGGCCAAAGGUACUAAUUAAUUUCUUAAUUAAGCCGAUAGUUGGAGACUGUACGAGGCCAUGUAACAUGCACUGGCGAUAGUAAAUCUGGCUAGCUUUGUACGUUCAUGUCCAUCCUUCUUUGAUGAUUAUUUCUUUCAGAUCCAAGAAUUAGACUUUAAUCUUUUUGCACCACUGUAGUCUACACGAUGAACUCUACAAAUAGAGUAUAAUAUUUGAUAUAUUCUCUUUCUUAGAAUUUACUAGCACGUGGGACCCACACGUCAUAGGGUGGCAUUUUUAUAAAUCCAAGCUAUAUUUUUUUUUCACAUAUAUGCUCAUAUUUAUUUGUACGUCGGUCCACCAUGGCUCAUAUAAAUAAUUCGGACUUAGCGCGCACAAAAAUCCAUCAAACAAAUGCCCCCCACCGAGUAUAUUUCAUGCGCGAAGCAGCAUGGAAUAGACUCGGUGAAAAAAAUCUGAGUAAUAGGCAUAUAUACUGCAUCUUGCAACCUGUACUGCCUGUGAUUAGAGUUUAACCCGAGCAAGAAUUGUUUAAAACCCGCAGGGAAGUCCUCUGCCGGGAAAAGACGCAUUAGUAUUGGACUCAAACCAGGACAAGAAGCCUUGUUGCAUAUACUCUCUUUAUAUAGAGACGCCCCCUGCUUGAUUGUUUCUCAAACAUCGUCAUUGUUUCUAGCAUACUGUUGACACGGGAUGGCCGGGCCACCAAAGGAAAAGCAGCGCCACCAACCGUCCCACAUUGUGACAUGAAGAAGAGAGAAAAGAAAAGAGAGAGAAAAAUGGUAGCGAAUAUCCGUGCUAUCAUUCAAUUACACUUCCAAGAAAAUAAAAACAAUUACACUAGAGUAUGAUGAAAUAACCAUACCAUAUGCUAGAGAGGGAGAGAGAAAUUCUUCCACUGCGACCAGAUGUAUGGUGCCAGCCAAUGGUUGAAACCUUUGGCGUUUUCUUCUUGUAGAAAUUGCCGCCGGCCAAGAAAUAUUUAUCAAGUUUGAUGCGACCUUAAAGCUAAAAGGUGCCAGCCAUCACACUUGAAGGGUUUCACAGAUUCACACUGACCGCACUGGCGUGCUUCACUACUCCCGAAAAUUGAAGUGUUGAUGCACUAGAAAGACAUUAGUAGCUCACUUGUAGAAUGUUGAGUCGGAAUAUCAUCGACUAUGUGAAUGGACUAGGAGGUAAUGUUGCCCCCAGUGUCAUUUUUGCGACUGUUGGGGAGAUGAUGCCCCGAGUGGUGAUGCACAUAUCGGUAUAGAUCGUCGAAAUGCCAUCGACGAUUCUUGUUUGAGGAAAUUUUGCCCCCAUGACGGGAUGCUUGAUGAUAGCUACACAAGGUCAUUAGGAGAAAAAAAGCAACCUCAAAAAACUAGCCAAAAUUAAAACAAGGCAAAAAAGGUUUUUUUUUUGUUUUGGAAUGUUGGCUUUCCCGUUUAACGCUAGCUAUAAUCGUGACAUCAGAAAAGGCAACCAAAGGGCUUAGUCAUCAGGAAUCGUCGAAAGGCCAUGACGAUUAUAACUUAGCCUCAAUUAGUGUGUGUGUAAAACAACAUGCUUCCAUGAUGCUCUCAGGAGACAAUGGGGAUUCAUACCCUAGACUUCAUAGGACUGAGUAACCCCACGGCUCCACCAUGCCCCCCGCACAUGCCCCAAGAACUCAGAGACAUAGGUGAGGGUAAUUUAGGAAAUUGGGUUAUAGGAGAAUGGCUUGGCGAUUUUUCAUGCCCAUGUUGAGGGGUGGAACACAACUACCCUCCUCCUUCUUUCCAGUGGUUCCCCUAGCAUGAUAAGGACUUGCAUCUUGGAGACUUGGACUUCAGGAAUUUUGGUAACUUUCCUCUUGUUUUGUCGAAGGAUUACUUGCACUUCUUGAACUUUUCACUGGACUUUCUCUUUAUAUAUAUUUUUUGAAUAUAUCGCACCUCUCGUCAUAGCUUCUUUGGUGUUUGCUAGGGAACCCACCUUCAGAACUCGGAAAGUAGUUGCACACCUUUGUGGACUAAGUAAACCCUCAAAGGCAUAUUUUGGCUAUGGUGGAACACCCUGGAGGUGUCAAGACGCUCUACACUAAAAGCAACUUCUGUUGACCAGGUAGGCUCUUCUUGCUCUUUUCCCUAUAGUUUUCCCCAGGGUGUUGUGCCCUUGUGAACUCAAAACAUGGUAGGGAACAUGAGGAGUAUGGGGACUCAGUACACAGAAGUAGCCCAAGUAAUUUUCUCCACGCCUUCUGAAAGCAUACACUUGGCAUGUGUUGUGUGUUGUGUGGGUAUGGCGCCGCUCCACUUUUUAUGCCUGACACAAAGUGUCGCCUUCAGACCAGCCCUAAGGCAACCUAGUCUUCAACCACUAGCAUGGCGUGUUUCAGGGAAAGCCAUUUUAAUGUAGGACAAUUGCGUCCAUGGUUUUGUAAAACACUUUUUUUAAGAGAGAAGAAAAAAAAUCAAAGGAAAGAAACGAGAGAAAAAAAUGCGGAAGUAGUCAGGCCUAGUAUUUCUUCAGGAACCUCCCAUUAAUAAGGGGCAUGGGAUGAACUCCAUGUUGUUCAAACAACAGAUAAGCUCCGCCGUCAUAGACUUGCUCAAUCAUAAAUGGCCCUUCCCAUUUAGGCUCUAGUUUUCCUUUAGCUUUUCCUGAAACCGCAAUGGGGCGCCUUAGUAUGAGCAAUAGUUCGUACAACAAAAGAAUACUCAAAGAAUUCAUCCUGAGUUAAUAUUUCCUCGAGCGAUUAAAGACAAUGCUUAGAUCACCCUGAUGUUGCAGGUGAUCUUUGGUUUUUACAACCAGGUCAUCAAUAUAACAUUCCACAGAGUUAUGAAUGAGAUCAUCCAGUACCAUGGUCAUUGCCCGUUGGUACGUUGCACCAGCAUUUUUUAGUCCAAAAGGCAUUACUGUGUAAUAGAAAUUACCUUUCGAAGUUCGAAAAGCGGUGUCUAUUGCAUCAUUUUCGUUCAUCUUGAUUUGGUUAUAACCUGAUGGCCCAUCCAUGAAGGAUAAGGCACCAUAACCUAUAGUGGCAUCAACGACCAUCUCAGUGAUGGGUAUAGGAAAAUCAUCUUUGGGACAAGCACGAUUUAAAUCUCUAAAAUCAACACAGAUUCGCAAUUGUCCAUUCUUUUUUAUAACAGGGACAAUAUUAGCUAACCAGCGCGGGUAUUGUACCUCUUUUAUGAAUCCGGCGGCAAUAAGCCUAUCCACCUCGAUAAUAAUGCCAUCUUGUAGUUCUGGGCGAAAGCGGCGCGGAUGCUGCUUUACUGGCCUGAACUUAGGAUCAAUAGCGAGUUUAUGUGUGGCGACUCGAGGGUCGAGCCCUGGCAUUUCUUUGUAGGUCCAUGCGAAGCAGUCCCAAAACUCCAUCAAGAAUUGUCGGUAACUUUCCCUUUCCUGUGAAGUGAGGGUGGCACUAACAAAGGUAGGACGUGGAUCCUCCUCUGUACCAAGAUUGAUUUCAACUAGCUCAUCAAUAGUACAUUGCCCACCGUCUUCAAGCUGCGAAGGGGCGGGAGCAGCAUCAAGUACCUCUCCCUGUUUAAUUGUCAUGGCAUUAUGAACCUGAGAUAGAAGAUAGUGUUCAUUUCUCAUUUCAUAGUGUGCAUUUGCAGCAGCAUAGAAUGAACGAAACUGAUGAGAAUUUUGAUAUAUAUAAUUGCCAUCAUCCUCAUCAGAUGUUGUUUCUUGCUCUUCCCUACCUUGGUCAUGACUUAUGUUCACCAUAUUGCACAUAAAUUUGUGCUUAUCAUCACAUUCUUCAUCCUCGCUUUCAGAAGAUUCUGAGCAGACAUAGCCCAAACCAUACUUCGGUUGGCUUUUCUUAUUCUUCUUUUUAAUGAAUCUUUCUGCUUGAUCCUACCACACCUCGCAAAUGGCAGGCGGUGAUGGUAACCUGCAAUUUUGAAGUUUAAUUCCUGAUUGCUCUAAUAAGUGAACCAUUCUAGGUUCAACUUUCAUAGUAAUCAAUGUUUCCUUGGUAUUGAAACCAGAGGGGUAGAAAUGGAUUAUAGAGUCGUAAGGUUGUACUCGUGGUACCUUAUAAAAAAGUGUAGGGCAAGAGUUCUUGUAUUGACCUGGGAUCAAGCGAACCUCCAAUGGUAUUGAGACGGAUACAUACAUUGAUGGGGGUUGUUUAAGCACAUCUCCCUUUGUUUUCUCUAUUUCGCCCACCCUUCUCUUUACUCUCCCCUCUGCUAGUGUCACCUUUUCGACAAGAGGGUUUGCAGGUGCAUGUAAUACCUUAGAGGGAGACACGUCACUCGUACUAGUAAAGAGUCCAAGAACUCCUGCAGAUGGAGAAUUCAGAUUAAUUAUAUUUUGAAGUGCCAUAGGUGUUAGAAGAGAGAAAGAUUCAUUAUUUUUUCUAUGAGGCUCGGUAGAGGGCUCAGAUACAGACCUCAGUAAGAGUGGAGUUGGAGUAGUAGCCUCCGCAUUCGAUGAUAAUUGCGGGGUUUGUAAUGUGGUGGUGGUGUAUCCCUCCUUCCCAAAAGGGAAGGGCUCAUAUCGACGGGUCAUGGAAGGUCUUCCUAUUCCACGACCCCUUCCUCCAUGUGAAGGCAUUCUCCUUGAAGAGUGUUUGGUGUAUGAGGGUUCUGUCUCUGACAAUGGGAUAGAGUCGGGUGUGAUGAGUAUAUCCGCUGGAGGCGCUACUCAUCCUUGUUGAGUGUGUGGGUCCUCACUUGGGAAGUAGUAUUUCGCAUCGGCAUGAUGUGCCUCCUGAAUGGUAUAUGGAUUAACAUUACUGGCUAUUCGGUGUUGCUCACCACUUUCAUCAGCAAAUUUCAGCCAUUGAUGUAGUGUCGAGGGGACCACUUGGUACUUGUGUAUCUAUGGUCUACCCAAUAAUGUUGAGUAGGAGGUGUUUGCCUCUAUAACAAAGAAGCGUACCUUAAAACUAAAAGAUGACAUUUGGAUUUUCAAUGUGAUAGAACCUAAUGCUGAUCUUCCCUGAUUAUCAAAACCGCAUAUCACCACCUCUGUUGGUUCUAGGUCAUCAGUGGUGAAGCCAGCGCGAGUCAAGCCACGAACUAGGAGAAUGUUGACAGCGGAACUAGGAUCAAUGAGGAUGUGUCUCAAGUGAGCGUAUCCAAUGGUCCCUUCUAUGUAAAGUGGGCGAUUAUGAUUGUCAUCCAUCACCACUUUAUCUUCUUCAGAAAAGGUGAUCUCAUUUGCACUCAACUCAUUGCACAAUAUUCUAUGCUUUGCCAUUGUUACUUCAAAUAAUUCUGGAUUUUGUAAUGCUUGAACGAGAGCAUGUCGUAGUUCAAGCACCAACAUUAGUGCAUCAUAGACACUUAAAAGUGCUGGAAUACGUUUCAAGUGUGCUACUAUGUUGUAAUCUAUUUUGGGAGAUGCACCAUCAGCAUCUCCUGGAGCUUCUUGCGCGGUGCCAUUUUUUGGAUCAUCCAUUUUUUUCCUCUUACAACCCUUUUAGGUUGGGUCUUAUGAGGGUCAGGUAGAAAUUUUCCUCCUCGCAAGUUCAUAUGGACUUCUAGUUCAGACUCAUGAGAUGAGCUUUCUGCUUGUAGGACUUCUCUUUCAAGUGGCAUUACUGUGUCCUCAGAUGAGGAGCUACUUGACGUAGCAUAGUUUAGCACAACAUUGCAAGAAACCUUGUUAAAGGACAACACAGGAACUACUUCCUUUGUUUCCUCCUCCAUCGUGGGGCCAACUCUCUGCCCCCAGUUACGGGGCAUGAAUUGCUCUAAAGUGGGAAGUGCACAGCCUGGUCUAGGGAAUGACUCAUCUCCCUCAGACUCGGGCACAAAUCUUGGUGGCAUGCGACGCAUGCUCAGAUUAUGCCACUUGACUGACAACUUUGUAGUAUGUUGAUAAUACGGCACAAAACGUGGUCCCCGCUUGUGUAGCUGCUUUGAUGAAGGCUCAUAAGGUCUUGCCUCUCGUGCUACUCUUUCUCUAGCCCCAAAGGUCUGAUGAGUGACCCCUAGACCAGUGAACCUCUCUUCAACAUGGGAUAACGGCAGCCAUAGAUCCUCUUCCUGGGUGAAACGUGAGUCUGUCAUUACUACAUUCACAGCAUGGUAAUUCGGAUUUAUAGCAUCAGGCUGUAUUUGGAGUCUUUUUUCAUCAAUGGCUCGUUGGAGCCAUUCCUUGAAAGCAACACAGUCCUCAACGACGUGCCCUACAUAUUGAUGAUAUGGACAAUAUAGAGCAUUGUCCUUCAUAGAUACUUGGUCAGGACGUUUUGGUUCUGGGAGGUUUAAGUGGUUAUGGGCCAUCACUUGAUUGAAGAAAUCUUUGAUCAUCUCUCGGCGGAAUAUGUAUUGCUUUCUAAGAAGUUCUUGGAUGGAGGGUCGUUGUCUUGCCCCUGCAGAUUCAUUUCUUGUGCCUAGCAUGGGCACAUUACUUUGUUGUACUGCUCUAGUGGUGUUAGCCUCAUUGGAAUUUUUAGGCUUAGCCACAUUAUUAUUUGGUUUUGUCGUUGCGUUAAAUCUCCUGGUAUGAUCAUGUGUGCUAGCAUUCUUAUACAACUCCAUGAUUUGAGGAGACUUCUCAAAUUCUAGCUUGGUUGCUUCCACAGCCAAGCUGAGUGCACUAAAUGUUUUAGGUUCGCGCCGAGAUACCUCGAGCGACCAAUGUUGUUGCAUUCCAUGGAUGCACAUUUCAAUGGCAUCCUCAGUAUGCAUUUCUCUUGCAAGGCGCACAAAGCUAUUGCAAAAUCUUACUAUAUAGUCGUCAAUCUUUUCAUCAUGCCUCUGUCGAACUUGGGCCAGCUCGAUUACUGAGAAAUCCUUUUUCAUUGUGACAAAAUGAGCUUUAAAGAUAUUCUUCAUGCUUUUCCAAUCAGGAAUAGAGCCCACAGGGAGGCGACUAUACCAAUGAAAGGCAGGACCGGUCAAAGAACCUGAGAAUUGCCGCAAUAGUAGUGAGGGGUUGCGAGCAGUAUCUCCACAUGUUGCCUCAAAAUAGGCUAGGUGCUCUCUUGCAUCUCCGGUUCCAUCAAACUGGCGGCACUUGGGUGGAUGCCACCCCGCGGGGAAGGCGAUGAGAUCAUGCCAUGAUUCAUAUGGUUUGUCAAUCUCACUCUCAGAAGUUUGAGGGGCUUGUUCUGCAGCAAUCUGUUUCAUUUUUUGGUUAACCAUGUCCUCAAUGAUGCUAUGAUAGCCUCUCAACAUAUCUGGCUGAGUUGAAGGACUAUUAGCUAGAACAGCGGUACUAGCAAGAAUUUGUUGGGCAUUCCUAGUGGCCUCUGUUGCCCUCUGAGAACGAGCAGUGGCUUCCAAUUCCUCCACCUAUGGAUCAAUGACCCUUUGGGUGGGAACUCGAGGCAGAUUCUGACCCGAGCCAGUAAAGAGAUCAAAUAGUUGAUCAAACUUUAAUGUUAGUUGAUCCAAUUGUUGUUGUUGUGUUCGUAGUUGCAUCUCUAUAUGUUGGUCACGCGACCCUGAUGCAGUCGUGUCAGUAUACAAAUUUCCUAUUUCUUCCCCAUCUUUUGGUUCACCCUCUUGUGUUCCAGCACCGUCCACAUGUGUCAUGUGAGCCGGCACAAUGUUUUCAUCUUCAGGUUCACAUUUAUCUUCCGAGACAAUGGAACGUGCAAGUUCAGAGUAGGGAGGUGACCGCGAGAGUUCUUGCAAUGAUGAGCUAGAGUUUGUAUCGGAAUCUUCACUUCGAUAGUCUUGCUCUUCUGAAUGAGGAGGACCAUUAUAAAUUCUUUGUGAGGCGAUUGAUUUCAAACGAGUCGCCAUACCUUGGCGCUCUAGAUAUUCUCGAAGCAAGACUGGGUCUUGUGGAAGGCGUGAUGAAAGAAUAACAUAAGGUCGAGAAUAACUUCUCGAUUCUUGUUGUGGCUGCUCAGUAGAAGGAGUGGAUUGUCCAUCUGUAAUAGGAAAACAGGGUGCAGUCGAGGAUGAUGCCAUUUCCUCAUUACCUUCCUCUUUUUCAGAACCUUUAAACCAACCACGGACCUUCCCUAGCUGCGGCAGGAAAUUCUUAGAAAACGAUGCCUUUGGGUUCGGCAUGAUCUCUUCAUCGGAAGGAUAAGAGAAAUCUUUUUGAACUGGAGGUGGAACCCAGUUUUCACGACUAUCAUGUUCAGCAUGCGCUGUCAAGGUGCCACACAUCACUGUGUCUUUUGCACCCUUGUUUUUAUCCUUUGAAGUUUCGUCCAUGGAGUGCGGACUUCUUUCCACAUCACCUUCAUGAGGGGAUGAUGUCGAGUUAUGUUUUGGUUCUAUAGUCUCUGCUAUGCCAUCAUUGUUUUGGUCAGUUUCCUGUGGGGGGCUUGUCGAACUAUCUUUCUUUUCAUCUGUCUCCAUGUGAUCUAUUGAUGAUUGUGAUUUUAAUUCAGUGGUACCCUUAAGAAGGGCUAAUGUAGAUGUUUUCUUAUCAGUGCCUUCUGAAGGGGUCGGAGUAGAACUUUCAACGCGUGCUUCUGGCCCUUGGCCUAUUGUGUCACCUUGUUGUCAUGACUUUGGUAUAAGACACUCAACGAGGUAGUUGUACCUCUCAUUUUGAAGUAGUGUUGGGGAGAGUUUCAAAGUAAUUUUGUCAUAGAAUGGGUGCACACGGCCAUCCGACCUGACUCGUACAUGAACAUUGCCGAGCACAAGUUCAUGCAACUCUUGAUAGAGUGCUCGACGAUUCUUUCUGCGCUAAUCGCGCUUGUAUUGGUUGGCUGCACUAGGGUAUGGAGCUCUUGCUGGAAUAGCUGGAGUCGGAAGAAGCGGUGCAGCUUCUUGAGAAUUUAUCAAGGACGGUGUUAAAGAAGGCGACACACCGAUUUUUGUGUUUUGCGAAGAUUGAGGUGGAGCGGGCACUUUCUUUUCUUGCCCCCUGCUUUCACUUGGCCAUGAUGGACGUACAUUGUUCUCAUGGAGGUGUUCAUGGGGAAAUUGCUCCCGUCUCGAGGACACCGGUCGCCAUUCUUGGCAUGACCAAGCGUUCCAAUGAGGGGGUAGCUCUGUUUGUCUCGGUCGAUAGGACGAAGUAGUGGGCGAGCUGCGACGAGGUGCCCAAGUAUUGCGAUCAUGUUGUGGACGAUAACUAGGAACAUGGCGUCUAGCUUCACCCUGCUGCGAUGACUCAGGUGCUUGCGAAAAGUUUCCACGAGCUUGAAACCUUGACCUAACCCCAUCACGGGAUGGAGGCAGAGGUUGGGAUUGGUAUUGGCCAGGAGCAUGGUGUCUUGGGGCGCCCCCGACAUGCGAGGGUGGCUGAUUUACUUGUUGUUGGAGCAUUCUCAAUUGAGAUUGCAGCUGCUGCAAUUGGCGUUGAAGAUCAUUAGAGCGAGGCGCUGGUGCCUCAUUGGAUAGUACAUCAAACUUAUUUUCACUUCUGUUAUCGCCAGUUGUAAUGUGACAUGCCGAGACUAGCACAGCUGGAUUGAAAUGAUUCAACUCACUGACGAUGGAUGGGUUACAUCCUGGAAAACUAGUGGCACGCUUUAGAGUGCGCGUCCAGAACUCGUUCAUGAUCGCUUGCCUAACAAGCUCUUUCAUCCGAUGUGGUCUGUCGAUCCACUGAAUCGGGGAAAGGACAUAGGGCUCAUUUACUGGAUCUGGAUAUUUUGUUUCAUCCUCCAGUGAUGAAGUAUCUGUUUCUGCAAAAUCAUCGCUCAACUGAGCAUGUAACUUUUUAAUUUGACUACGCUUGCGUCGAUAGUUGCGCAGUGAGUUAGCAUUUUUGUUUGAUCUUGCAUUGCGCACAGACCAAGACAAGUGAUAAGUAGCCAUAUCGAGCAUCUCCAAGAGCUUAGUUUUUUUUUUCUUGCAUGACUGUGGAAGGCGAGCUUGGCGUAUUGGCGGCAGUGUUUUUUAGCAGAUUGCGAGCCUCAAUGAUAAGAGCCUGGCGUUCUUCCUUAUCCUUAGCAGCAGCAUGUUUUUUGGCCUUCUUUGUUUCAGCGGUAUGGAGGAACGUCGGGUCCAGCGUCGGGUGAUAGUGGGUCUUGCUUCCAUGUUCGAUGCCUACCAUAGGAGGUAGCGAUCCAAACUGGAGCACACUUGGAGUUGAAGUUUGUCUCAUAGCCUGCUCCAUGGUGAUGACAGGGAAGGACUCACCUACAAAAGGGAAUCCUUCCAUUAGUAUGCCUUUGUAAUAUACAUGCUCAUCAAAACAUUAUAUAAGCAAGAAUUGAUCAUAUCAAUCAAUUGCUUAAGUACAAGACAAAUAUUCUUUCCCACGGGUAUUCUUGGGCCCUUUUUUUUUACCCAUCCAUAUUGAGCAUAGCUUCAAUAUAACAACAUACAUCUCAGUACGGAUGUUGAUUGAUGAUUUUUUUUAUUCAAAGAUUAUCUUGUGCACUUCUUUGAGAAAAUAGAGCACCGACAAGGCAUAGGUGUCUGACCAAGGCUAUUUUUUUAUCGCACCAGCCAAUAUUCAUGAGUGCUGGAAUUUCUUUCUCGAGUCAAAGUACCAUCGUGUCAUAUUUUGGAUGAUCAGGUCGAAGACAAGACACGAGGAUAGAUGGAAAAGUUUUGUGCCAUGCAAGGUUUAGUACAUGCAUGGAGCAUUAGGAUGGUACGUGUAUGACUCGUGUACGCGCAUGAUGCAUGCAUGCAUGCCAGAUGUUUAGACAAGUAACUCAUCUCUUUCAUUCAGACACAAAAUGUCUUAUGUAUGAUAAUUUAGACAGAGGAAGAAGAAUAGAAGUUCUGUGUCAUCAGGCAUUUCUUUCAGCAUUGAGAACCAUAGCACGGAAGGGAAGGAAGGUCCGUGAGUGUGCAUGCAUAUUUUUUUUAAGAAAAAAGUAGAUGCAACACAAGAGGGACGCGUGCAUGCCUAUCAGAACCAGGCCUGUGCACAUCCGUUUUGUUUUAAGGACCACUCAUAGUAUUUCUCUUUACUGUUUCUUGCUUCAUCGAAUAGAACUUGUAGCAGAUCCCUCACACAAUACAUUCUGAAUUUCUCUAUUUUUUAUCACAUCAAAGAGAACUUGCAGAUCGGUUCAUGCAUCAAACCAAAUUUUGCUUCCGGCCAGCAAAAGAGAGCAAGAGAAGUUGGACGACGAUCAGAGCGCAGCGAAGAUGGGAGGAGAAUCAGGUCCCACCGGGCGUGCCAUUUUGUUUCGAAAACAAAAAUACAGGACAAACGCGGAAAUAAAUUAUGGGAACUUGUAUUUUAUUCAUCAUCGUACGAUUACAAAUACAUGAAUGUUACAUGCUCCCAUUGGAGUUUGCCUAUUUUGCCUUCUGCGACUAUGCUUAAGGAGUAUCUAGCUUGGAAGAUUGCGUGUAGUCCGCUGAUUCCCGGUGCUUUUGCAAAGCGUCCGGUUAAUUACAUCUGCAGGUCAAGCCUACAGAAAACCUCCGAUUAAGCUGCACGCGGUGGUCGUCGUGAAAUUUGCUCAUCCAUAAUGCAUGUGGGAUGUUUGGAGAAAAGAUGUAGAUGGUGGUGAUACAUAGGUGCGGGUGGCUUUGUUUUGCCUGAACCCAGUCACGAUACGCCAUCGCCAUGUCGGUAUUUAGAACGGAAUUUGUUGAUGAAGAUGGUGACCUUUGCCUUGUCGGUGCCCAGUCAUGUAUCCAAGAAUUCAUCGAACAUGGACAUGUGUAUGUUGCUUUCGCCUCGUCGGUGCCCAGCAAUGAAGUGUCCGAUCCCGUUUGGGAUUGUGACAUGUUAAUGGAAUAUAGUGACCUGGCCGUGUUGGCACUUGGACAUGAUUUCGUCUAGCCUUGUCGGCACUAGACAUGAGAUGGGUAUGAUGGAUUUGACCAUAACCACAUGGACAUUAGGCCAUAGAUUUGAGAUAGACCAUUGAUAGAGCAUGUCUUUUCUCCUUUAUUUUAAGAAUCAGGGGUUGCACACCGCCGACAUAGAUGAAGCAAUCGACGAUGUAUUUUUUGUGAGGAUUUUCAUCUACUCCGCAUGGGCGACGUUGAUGAAGCGAUCGUGCCAUGGUCGUAGGUUUCCGCAUGGGCGACGUUGAUGAGGCGGUCGUGCCAUGGUUGUAUAUUUUUACAUGGGCGACUUUGAUGAGGCGGUCGUGCCAUGGAUGUAAAUCUCCGCAU